AUUGAACGCUGGCGGCAGGCCUAACACAUGCAAGUCGAACGGAGUGGCGGACGGGUGAGUGAUGUCUGGGAAACUGCCUGAUGGCGGGGGAUACGUACUGGAAACGGUAGCUACUACCGCAUUCCAUCGGAUGUGACCCGAUGGGAUUAGCUAGUUGGUGGGGUAAAGGCCAACCAAGGCGAAGAUCCGUAACUGGUCUGAGAGGAUGAUCAGCAACACUGGGACUGAGAAACGGUCAAGAGUCCUAAGGGAGGCAGCAGUGGGGAAUAUUGGACAAUGGGCGAAAGCCUGAUCCAGCCAUGCCGCGUGUGUGAAGAAGGUCUUCGGAUUGUAAAGGACUUUAAGUUGGGAGGCGUUACCAACAGAAUAAGCACCGGCUAACUUCGUGCCAGCAGCCGCGGUAAUUC
rnacentral:rRNA from 1 species